rnacentral:rRNA from 1 species
UACGGGGGGGGCAAGCGUUGUUCGGAAUUACUGGGCGUAAAGGGCUCGUAGGCGGCUCACUAAGUCAGACGUGAAAUCCCUCGGCUUAACCGGGGAACUGCAUCUGAUACUGGAAGGCUUGAAUCCGGGAGAGGGAUGCGGAAUUCCAGGUGUAGCGGUGAAAUGCGUAGAUAUCUGGAGGAACACCGGUGGCGAAGGCGGCAUCCUGGACCGGUAUUGACGCUGAGGCGCGAAAGCCAGGGGAGCAAACGGG